rnacentral:rRNA from 1 species
CCGUGCCUACGGGGCGCAGCAGUGAGGAAUAUUGGUCAAUGGGCGCGAGCCUGAACCAGCCACGUCGCGUGAGGGAAGACGGUCCUAUGGAUUGUAAACCUCUUUUGUCGGGGAGCAAAAGACGCCACGCGUGGCGUUCCGAGAGUACCCGAAGAAAAAGCAUCGGCUAACUCCGUGCCAGCAGCCGCGGUAAUACGGAGGAUGCGAGCGUUAUCCGGAUUUAUUGGGUUUAAAGGGUGCGCAGGCGGAAGAUCAAGUCAGCGGUAAAAUUGAGAGGCUCAACCUCUUCAAGCGGUUGAAACUGG